AACGAACGCUGGCGGCAGGCCUAACACAUGCAAGUCGAGCGAGGACUUCGGUUCUAGCGGCGGACGGGUGAGUAACGCGUGGGAAUGUGCCCUUCUCUACGGAAUAGCCCUGGGAAACUGGGAGUAAUACCGUAUACGCCCUAUUGGGGAAAGAUUUAUCGGAGAAGGAUCAGCCCGCGUUGGAUUAGGUAGUUGGUGGGGUAAUGGCCUACCAAGCCGACGAUCCAUAGCUGGUUUGAGAGGAUGAUCAGCCACACUGGGACUGAGACACGGCCCAGACUCCUACGGGAGGCAGCAGUGGGGAAUCUUAGACAAUGGGGGCAACCCUGAGCUAGCCAUGCCGCGUGAGUGAUGAAGGCCUUAGGGUUGUAAAGCUCUUUCAGCUGGGAAGAUAAUGACGGUACCAGCAGAAGAAGCCCCGGCUAACUCCGUG
rnacentral:rRNA from 1 species